rnacentral:lncRNA from 1 species
AAAUUGGAUCAAAUGAGAUUCAGUAAGCUUUUCAACUUAACUGUACUACCAUAAUACUUUGUUCGGUUGGAUAUGUACAUAUGAGCAAUCUUAUUAUUUGCAGGACACUGGUUAUAGCUGUAAUUCAGUAAAUACGCACACCUAGAGGGGUGACUAGAUGUUUAAGCUAAAAGUGAUAAACGGUGAAAUCUUUUUGAAAUUCUUUACUACAUGUUUAAUUCAGACAGCUACACCUGUCUGCUUUAGCUUAUGUUCUUCGUUUAAUAUUAUCAGACAGCUGGACUUGUACACCUCUGCACCUCUUCUCACCUCUGAGACCUUUGAAACCUUCUUUGAACAGACUAACUAAAACAAGAAAUCCCAAGCCAAAACUAUACUUGAGUUCAGUUUACAAUGAAUGAGUUUAGAAGGUACAAAAGAUUUUCAGCACAAAAGAAUUUAACACACUACAAUAAAUUGCUGGAAUAAAGCAAUUGAAGUUCUUUGAUGUACUAUAUAUUUCAACUUGAUUGCAGGUUCAAGAGAUGUCCCCUAUUUAGCCGAAGAGAAGGAGCAUAUAUAACGAGACAAGCAAACAACUAUAGAAUAUGUUAGCUAAAAAAACUCAGUCCCGUUACCAUAAUUUCAACAGCUUUGUAUAACCAGAAAGGUAAUAUGUAAUCUGCGACAACUAUUUGAUUUUGAAUUAGCUGAAAUAGAGGAGAGAAAUUCUAUAGCCAGUUAUCUGUUUUAAACAGAAGUGAUAAGAUAAGAUAAUACCCAACUCUAAAAAGCUACUGAAGACUCCUUAUAGCCACUAACUGAUGUGUGCCCUACAAAGCAUAAAUAAAAU